UUUUUUUUUUUUUUUUUGUCUUCUUUCUUUGUCUUUUCUAGGGCCACUCCAGCGGCAUAUGGAGGUUCCCAGCCUAGGGGUAUAAUGGAGCUGUAGCCGCUGGCCUAUGCCAGAGCCACAGCAACAUGGGAUCUGAGCCUCAUCCUUAACCCACUGAGCAAGGCCAAGGAUCGAACCUGUAACCUCAUGGUUCCUAGCUGGAUUCUUUAACCACUGAGCCAUGACAGGAACUCCUCCAAUUUCUGACUUCUGACCUCCACAACUGUGAGAGAAUAAAUUUCUGUAGCUUUAAGCUAACUAGUUUGUGUUAAUUUGUCACACAGAUCUAGGAAACUAAAACGCACUCUGAUUCCCCAUAACAGUGAAUAUAAAAUUUACCAUCAUCUAGCCCUCACCCUAACACUCAUCCUUACCCUGAAAAUGAACCUUAUUCUGACCUCAAUCCUGAUAAGAGCCAGAAAUCAACUUUUUCCUCAGCCCUCACUGUGACCUUGACUUUCAGACUCACUUUGAGCUAGACCUUGACCAUUUUCCUGACCCUCAUAAUCACACUGAUACUGAAUAGAUCCUUCCUCAUAACUUUGACACUGACCUUGACCCUGACCCUGAACUCAUCCUGAACUUAACCUUGACACUAUUUUCUGCCAUUUACUACCACCAUGACCUUGACCCUAACUGUGAAGAUCCUUAUGACCCUAAACCUCACACUUAGUAUCUUCUCAGCUCUGAUCCUUGUCCUGACCUGACCUCACCCACCACCUGUCCUGACUGUGAGUAUGAGCUUGAUCCUAAUCCACUGCCUAAUUCUUUCCUGACUUUGUCCCUGACUUUCAUGCUCACAAUGACCCUGAAGCUGAUGUUGAACCCAACACUACUACAUUUGUGAUAUUUGUUAGAUUCCACAUCCAAGGGGUAUCCUAUGGUAUUGUCCUUCAUUUUUGGACUUAUUUCUCUUUGCAUGAGAGUUUCUGGUUCCAUCUAUGUGGCUGCGAAUGUCAUUUUUUAUGACUGUGUUGUAUUCCAUUGUGUAUAUGUACAACAUCAUCUUAAUUCAUUCAUCUGUCAAUGGACUUGAGUUUGUUUCCCUGUCUUGGCUAUUGUGAAUAUUGCUGCAAUAAACAUAGCAGGGCAAGUAUUUUUUAAAAGAACAUUCAUCCAGAUAUAUGCCCAAGAGUGGGAUUGCUGGGUCAUAUGUUCAUUCUAUAUGUAUUUUUCAGAUUUACCUUGAUCCUGUUGUCUGCAGUUUUGGUACUAAUUUGCAUACCCAACCACACUGUAGGAGGGCACCCUCUUCACCAUACCCUCUCCAGGAUUUGUUAUUUGUAGACUUACUAAUGAUUGCCAUUCGGACAGGUGUGAAGUGGUACCUCAGUAUAGUUUUGAUUUGCAUUACUCUCCUAAUGUAUUGAUCAUUUCUUCCGGUGCUUGUUACCCUAUGUAUAUCUGGUUUAGGGAAAUGUCUAUUCAGGUAUUUUGCCCAUUGUUCAAUUGGGUUGUUGGAUUUUUUUUUUUUUUUUUUGGCUGUUGGUUUGUAUCAGUUGUCAAGCUGGUAAUAUUGAAACUCCAUCCAGAAUUCCCCUCGUGGCACAGCGGAAACGAAUCUGACUAGGAACAUGAGGUUGCAGGUUCGAUCCCUGGCCUCCCUCAGUGGGCUAAGGGCCCAGUGUUGCCAUGAGCUGUGGUGUAGGUCGCAGAUGCAGCUCAGAUCUGGCGUUGCUGCAGCUCUGAUGUAAGCCAGCAGCUAUAGCUCAGAUUCGACCCCUAGCCUGGGAACCUCCAUAUGCCGUGGUUGUGGCCCUAAAAGGACAAAAAAAAGAAAGAAAGAAAGAAAGAAAUCCUAUCCUGACCUGGGCUUUGGGAACCAGAUAGAGUGCCUGCAGGUUGUGCAUGGAAGGUUGUACAAUGGCGAUUUUUGGUGAGCAGUUGCAGUAAUCUGUGUUGUUUCUUUCAAGAGGUCUCCUGAAACUCCAUUCUUUUCUUUCCAUGUGAGCCUCCUUUUUUCUCUCUAUACACCUGGUUUAAAGACCUGAUCUAAUGCCAGUUCAGAUGAAUUAAUGCCAGUAGAAUGAUUACAGAAAGCUCUCAUGGAGAUGCCUCCUUUCUCCCUGGGAAAAAGAUCUCUCUGUGUCUCUGUGCUGGGUUUGUUAACCUCUGGACUUGAAAACCAUCGAUGGGCAGACAACUCAUGCACGCUUCAGGUGCAGUCAAUAAAGUAGGAAAGAAAGAGAAAAAAAAAGAAUCAUACUUUUAUUGUAUGCAUGAAGGAAUAACACUUGGAAAAUUAAGAAAAAAUCAAAAGUUACAUAUAUACACACCUGUCUUCCUAAAUACAUAAGUUCAGGGUUAUCUAAAAAAGGAAGAAGGCUGUCAUAACAUGAUGGGUCGGAACUGAGUGUUUGAACAGAGUGGCAUGGAGUAGGUUGGCUUCAGGGCUCUGAAAGCCUUUGAGAGAGAAAUAGCCCCCUUGGAAGGGUACUUCUUGGUAUUUUAAGAAAUUGGAGGAAGGAAAUAAAACUACCAUACUGCCCUCAGACAGUGCAGCCCCCUGGUGCUGCUAAGCCAGAGAGGAGGAAAACCUGAGAGUUGCUAUUAGAGCACAUUCCACAAGACGUCACCAGAGGACCUUCUGGACACAGGUGCAGCUCCAGGGCUGGAGGUGCUGGCUCAGAGAUGGGAUUGAUGGUGUGUUUCCCAGAACCCACAACAAGCACCCAGAGGUUCGGCGUUGUUCUCUGAUCACCUGGGACUCUCUGCUCCAAGAUGCCUCAUGUCGGGCAGAGGACACAGGUAUCCCUUCAGCUUUGGAUGUGGAUUGGCAGCCUGGUUAGGUAGCAGUGUGCUUAGAAUUCAUGAGAGAUUUGCUGGGUUUUGGAAUGUCUUGUAUUCCUCCAGAGGCAGGAGCCUAGAUUCACACAGCACCUGUGUUGCAUCGUGAGCUGACCAUUUUCAAGCCCCUGACUGUCGGGGCUUUAGGUAUGUGGAGAGAGAGGCUGGUGCUGAUGAAUGAAUGGGGGACUUUGGUGGCAUUAUGGUGGGCAGCUGUGCCAAUCCUUGUGCUUUUUUCUCUCAAGAGACCAAGUGAAAUUUCCUUCCUGCCUUUGCAGUUGAGGCUCCUUUUCAGUAUGGUGCUAGGUUAUGGGGGCCUGACCAAAAGCAGGUAUGAUGACUUAAAUAGGGUUGAUUGGUAUCAUCAAGAGAGCUCUCAGGGAGUUCCCUCGUGACUGCCAGGCUUAAGAGUCUAUCUCUGUCACUGCUGUGGCUGUGCUAAGAGCUGUGUUGGGAAAUCAAACCCUGGCCCAGACCACAUGUCAAUGUUGAAGGUGGCACCCAAAUAAAUUCAUAAAUAAAAAGAUAUUGAAAGAAUUGCUCAAUAUUUAAGGAAAUCAAUAAACACAUAUAAAUAUUCCUACAGAGUAGAUAAGGGAUUUGAUAGAUAAGGCACUAAUAAAGGGUCACCUGUCACUAUAACUCUGGUGACAGAGGGUUUUCAGUAGCAGCCUGGGGAAAUAAAAGUUUUGAUUUCCAUUUCUCUCCUAAGGAGUGAUGGUGAUCAUUUUUUCUGCUGCUUGUUGCCCUACGUAUAUCUGGUGUAGGUAAAUGUCUAUUCAGGUUUGUUGCCUGUUUUUCAAUUGGGUUGUUGCUUUUUUUUUUUUCCUCUCUUCUGUUGGGUUCUGUCAGUUGUCGAUCUGAUAAUUUUGAAACCCCAUCCUGACCUGGGUUUUGGGAACUGGAUAGAGUGCCUGCUGGUUGACCAUGGAAGGUGGUUCAAAGGUGAUAUUUUUGUGAGCAGCUGCACUAAACCCUGUGCUUUUUCUCUCAAGAGGUCUCUUGAAACUCUUAUUCUUUCCAGAGAGCCUCUUUUGUUCUCUCUAUACACCUGGUAUUAAUACAUGAUCUAAUGCCAGGUCAGGUGAAUUAAGGCCAGUAGAAUUCAAAUUCAGUAGAAUUGUAUAAAAAAAUCUCUCACGGACAUCCCUCAUGACUCCCUGUGUAUAAGAUCUGUCUGUGUUGCUGUGGUGGGUUUGGUAAGCUCUGUGGCUUGAAAAACUUCGAUGGGCAGACAACUCAUGCACACGCUUCAGGUGGGGUCAAGAAAGAAAGAGGGAAAGGAAAAUGAAUAACAGUUGAAUAAUUAAUAAAAAAAUCAAUAGUUCCAUAUAUACACACCUAUCUUCAUAAGUACAUAUGUGCAGGGAUAUCUAAAAAUGGAAGAAGGCUGUUAUGACCUGAUGGGUCAGGAGCUGAGUGUUUGAACAGAGUGGCCUUGGGUAUGUUGCCCUCAAGGCUAUGAAAGUCUUUCAGAGAGAAUAAGCCCACUUGGAAGAGCACUUGUUGGUAUUUUAAGACAAUGGAGGAAGGAAAUCCAACCAGCCUAUUGCCAACGUCCAGUGUAGCCCUGGGGGCUGUUUAGCCAGAGAGGGGAGGAAAGCCUGAGAGUUGCUAUUAGAGCAGAUUCCACAAGAUGGUGCCAGAAGUACCUUCUGGACCCCGGUGCAGCUCCAAGGCUGCGGGUGCUGGCUCAGAGGUGGGGUUAAUGGUGUGUAGGGUAGAACCCACAACAAGCACUCAGAGGUUUGGGGUUGUUUUAUGGGCACCUUGGACUCUCUGCUCCAAGAUGCCUCAUGUUGGGCAGAGGACACAGGUAUCCCUUCAGCAUUGGAUGUGGACUGGCAGCCUGGUUGGGUGGCAGUGUGUUUAGAAUGCUUGAGAGAUUCACUGGAUUUCAGAAUGCCUUGUGUUCCUCAAGUGGCAGGAACCACGACCCAUGCAGCAUUUUUGUUGAAUCCUGAGCUGGCCAUUUUCAAGCCCCUUACUGUUAGCGCUUUAAUUAUUUGAAGAGAGAGGCAGGUGCUAAUGAAUGAAAUCAGGAUGUUGGUGGCAUUAUGAUGGGCAGCUGUGCUAAUCCCUGUGCUUUUUUUUUGCUCAAGACCUAGUGAAUUUCCUUCUUGCCUUUGGAGAUGAACCUCUCUUUUAAGCACAGCGACAGGGUAGGGAGGCCUGACCGAAAGCAGGUCUGAUGAGUUAAGCAGGGUUACUGGUAUCAAGCAGGAUCUCAGGGAGUUUCCCCGUGGCUGCUGGGCUUAAGAGUCUAUCUCUGUCACUGCUGUGGCUGUGGUAAGAGCUGCGUUGGGAAAUCAAACUCUGGUCUGACAAUAUCCCAGUGUCACUGGUGGAUCCUGAAUCAAUUUAUAAAUAAAAAGAGAUAUUGAAAAAAUAAGCUCAGUUGAUAAAUAAGUCAAUACAUACAUGUAUACAUUCCUACAGAGUAGCUAAGGGAAUUGGUAGAUAAGGCAAUACUAAAGGAUCUCCUGACACUAUAGCUCUGGUGACGGAGGGUUUUCAGUAGGGUCCUGGGUUAAUAAAAGCAGUGGCAUGGAUUCAAUUCCUGGACAGAUAGUAUCUGCUUGCCAAAAGUGGGUGCACAAAAAUAAAUAGGCAAAUAAAAAAUGAAGAUGUUAAUAUAGAAAUAAAUUCAUACAUCCUAGGUAAUUACUUCUGGUCAGAUAUCACAUUGCUAAGAAAUCUUCAUAGGUUCCAUGGUGUCAGGUUGCCUGUUUUUUUUCUCGAGAGACAGGAGUCCAGACCCAGACACCUUCUCUGGGGAAUGCUGAGCAGGCAAUUUUGGUUUCUUUUUUUAAAAUCAUUUUUUAUUUCCAUUAUAGCUGAUUUAUAGUGCUCUGUAUCUUUCUUUUUAACAGCAGAAUGAUCCAGUCAUACAUAUACAUACAUAUCCUUUUUCUCACAUUAUUCUCCAACUUGUUCCAAAAAAAGUGACUAGAGAUAGUUCAUGGCACUAUACAGCAGGAUCUCAUUGCUUAUCCAGUCCAAGUACAAGAGUUUGUAUCUGUUAGCCCCAAAUCCCAAGUCUUCCCACAUCCUCCCCCUCCAAUCUGGCAACCACCAGUCUGUUCUCUAGUCAAGAUUUUCUUUUCUGUAGAAAGGUUCAUUUGUACCAUUUAUUAGAUUACAGAUCCAAGGUGUAUCCUAUGGUAUUGGCUUUUAUUUUCAGAUGUAUUUCACUUAGUAUAAGAAUCUUGAGUUCCAUCCAUGUGGCUGCGAAUGUCAUUUUUUAUUUUAUUUUUUUUAUUUUUAGGGUUGCUCCUGUGGUAUAUGCAGGUUCCCAGGCUAGGGGUCCAAUCAAAGCUGUAUCCACUGGCCUACACCAUGGCCACAGCAACUUAGGAUCCGAGCCCCAUCUGUGACCUACACCAUAGCUCACCGCAAUGCUGGAUCCUAAACCACUGAGUGAGGCCGGGGAUCAAACUGGCAUCCUCAUGGGUGCUAGUUGGGUUCGUUAACCGCUGAGACAACACGGGAACUCCUGUACAACAUCUUCUUAAUCCAUUCAUUUGUCGUUGGAUCUUGAGUUUGUUUCCGUGUCUUGGGUAUUAUGAAUACUGCUACAAUGAACAUAGAGGGGCACGUAUCUUUUUGAAAGAGGCUUUGUCCAGAUAUGUGCCCAAGAGUGGGAUUGCUGGGCCAUAGGUUUGUUCUAUAUGUAUUUUUUUGGAUUUACCUCAAUCCUGUUUUCCAUAGUGGUUGUAUCAAUUUAUAUACAUAUCUACACUGGAGGAGGGCACCCUCUUUGCCACACCCUCUACAGGAUUUGUUAUUUUUAUUUUUAUUUGCUUUUCAGGGCUGCACCCGUGGCAUAUGAAGGUUCCCAGGCUAGGGGUCUAAUCGGAGCUCUAGCCGCCGGCCUGCACCACAGCCACAGCAUUGCAGGAUCUGAGCUGUGUCUGUGACCUACACCACAGCUCACGGCAAUGCCAGAUCCUUAACCCACUGAGCGAGGCCAGAGAUUGAACCUGCAACCUCAUGAUUCCUAGUCAGAUUCAUUUCCGCUGAGCCACAACGGGAACUCCAGGAUUUGUUGUUUGUAGACUUGCUAAUGAUGGCCAUUUGGAUAGGCGUGAGGAGGUACCUCAGUGUAGAUUUGAUUUGUAUUUCUCUCCUAAUGAGUGAUGAUCAUUUUUUCCGGUGCUUGUUGCUUUCUGUAUGUCUGGUUUUGGGAAAUGUCUAUUCAGGAUUUUUGCCCAUUUGUCUAUUGAGGUUUUUUUUGGUGUUUUUUUUUUGUUUGUUUGUUUUUGUUUGUUUUGUUUUAACUGUUGGGUUGUAACAGCUGUUGAGUUGGUAAUGUUGAAACCCCAUCCUGACCUGUGUUAUGGAAACUAGACAGAGUGCAUGCAGGUUGUGCAUGGAAGGUGGUACAAAGAUGAUAUUUUGGUGAGCAGCUGCGCUAAUUCCUGUGCUUUUUCUCUCAGUACAUCUCCUGAAACUCUGUCCUUUUUUUUACAUGUGAGCCUCCUUGUUCUCUCUGUACACCUGCUAUGAAGACCUGGUCUAAUGCCAGGUUGGGUGAAUUAAGGCUGGUGGAAUGAUAUAAAGAAAGCUCUCUCAGAGAUCCCUCUUGUUCCCCUGUGUAAUAUCUGUCUGUGUCACUGUGGUUGGUUUGGUAACCUCUGAGCCUUGAAAACCAUUGAUGGGCAGACAACUCACACAUGUUUCUGGUGGGGUCAAUAAAAAGAAUGAAAGAAAGAGAGAAAUUAAAAGAAAUAAAGACCAGAGUUCCCAUCAUGGCUCAGUGGUUAACGAACCCGACUAGGAACCAUGAGGUUUCAGGUUCGAUCCUUGGCCUCGCUCAGUGGGUUAAGGAUUGGGUGUUGCCAUGAGCUGUGGUGUAGGUCACAGACACUGCUAAGAUCCCACAUUGCUGUGGCUGUGGUGUAGGCAGGCAGCUACAGCUCUGAUUAGACCUCUAGCCUGGGAACCUCCAUAUGCCGUGGGUGUGGCCCUAAAAAGACAAAAGAAAAAAAAAAAAAAAAAAAA
rnacentral:lncRNA from 1 species